UGGUCUUGGCUUUUAAUGGCACGCUUCAGAACAAGGGUGUCUAAACAUUUUCUUCCAAGGGCUGCAUACAGGAAAAAUCAAGGAUGUACAAUACUGGCAAGUCGGAAGCUUAAAAGCACCUUGAAUUGAAUCAAUGUUCAAACCAAUCCAUCGAUGUACAUAGGUGACCUUAUGUCCUCGUUGUCCGGCGGAAGCCUUUAAAGUCCAAAUAUGGUCAAGUUCUUUUUUUUCACAAAUCAAUACAAAUGGUCCGUCUCCACCUCGUCUGUGAUUUUUACACAAUAGAAGCCAAUUUAAAGCGGUGAACUUGAAAACAAAUAAACACUGCCACUUUGAUUGCAACUUAUGUUUGAGACCUGUUGCAAAACUACUUCCGUUUCCUCGUUUUGCCAAGCCUGGGAGGCCGGUGCCUCGGCCGGGGAGUCGUCUUUGUCGGACACGUUUGAACGAGGGAGCGCACUGAGGUGUACUGACAGAGGAUCCAGAUCACUUGUGGCCUUUGUUAACGGUACAUUUGGACAAUGAGUCAUGCUGUAGCGUCACCUGUUGAGGAGCUGCAUGAUCCCAGGCCAUACCUCCCCUGAUGGACAGCAGGUGUCCCACAGUCCACUUGGACACUUUGUGCAUGAGACAACGCCAAAUGUCCACCAGCUGUCUGGCAGCCAGCCCAACACCAGGCAUCGACAAGAAGCACCGGUUAUUUUAAUGUUUCACUUUGUCUUGUAGAUUGCCUUAUUUGCUUCAAGACAAGGUUGACUCGUAAUUGAUUUAUCUAUGCCCAUUCUAAGGUCUUAUAUUAUGACUAAGGAAAUAUGCUGGCCAUAGGGGCUGUGAACAGCAUUGAGGAUGACGUCAGAGCAAUCAGAUCGGGUGCUUGCUAAGUGUUAUCUUCUGGUAAAGCAAUGACAUCAUUACCACAUUUCUGUCACUUCAUCUUUGAUUCCAAUGAAAGAAAAUGAUUCCAAGACAAGACCAAGAAAAAUAGUAGGUCAACUAUCUAAUGUAGCCAUAUUUUGUUAUUGACAAUCACUAUUUGUUGCUUAUUCACAUGAGGAAAGCUGUACCAUACUAAAAGCCUGUUUUUUUGUGUGUGCAUAGUAUUAUGUGACAGAUGGGCAGGGCAUAGGGACUUGGCUGGCCUGCUAAUAGCAAAAAAUAUACAUGUAUAUAAGUGUCGGGCAUUAAAAUGCAUGACGGGGCUGCGAAAAAAAAAAAAUGGUGGCCACAACAAAAAAGCAAACAAAAAAUAUGGCUCACCCUGAAGGGGAAAACUCGCAACACAGAUUCCAUAUUAUAGUUAGUUUAUCCUUUAUCUAAAUUAAUAAAGUUGUAAAUUAAAAUAUAAUAGUAUAAAUAAGUAGAUAUACUUGCAUCCCUAUUGAAAAAAAAAUGUUGACUGAUGCUUUGUUCCGAUGCAUUGUGGUUUGCUCAGAUACUUUCUAAGUUAAAAAGAAAGCGAACUGGGAGAAACCAACCAAUGACAACAACUGAUUUGGACUAGGGGAAAAAAAAUAUAUGUGUGAAAGCCGCCUGAGAAUGAACAUACAGGCUUUGGUUAUGAGAAGCCCUGUGCAUACACUUUGAGCGUUCCAUUUUGUAAUUGGUGGGGGUGAGAAGCUAAAAUAAGCAACAUGUCAUUUUCCCAUCGCCGGAGUUGUUGCGACUGUGCAAAGACUGUGAGAUGUGCGACCUGAUACUGUUGCCAGUUAUUCUGAAACAGAGACACGGAACAAUUGCCAAAACAACACAAAGCAACUCGCCGCCUCAUCUGUUUGCCUGACUCUGAGGCUCAGUACCGGAAAGCAAGGUAGCACUACAUAUUUGAGCACUACCAGUUUAUAUACUGUGGAAAACAAUGUUGACUGAGAUUGUUGGAACUAAAUGUUGAUACAAUAUUAUGAUGAUAUUUUGCCAACAAUACAAUGUAGAGCAAUUACACAGGGAUAUAUACCACUGGUACUUAUGAUAUAUAAAAUUAAAUACGUAAAUACGUAGUAUGUACUGUAAAUGA